GACGGAGGGUGCUAGCGUUGUUCGGAAUUACUGGGCGUAAAGGGCGCGUAGGCGGCCCGCUAAGUCGAACGUGAAAUCCCCGAGCUCAACUCGGGAACUGCGUCCGAUACUGGCGGGCUUGAAUCCGGGAGAGGGAUGCGGAAUUCCAGGUGUAGCGGUGAAAUGCGUAGAUAUCUGGAGGAACACCGGUGGCGAAGGCGGCAUCCUGGACCGGCAUUGACGCUGAGGCGCGAAAGCUAGGGGAGCAAACGGG
rnacentral:rRNA from 1 species